UGAAAAUUUAACAUUAAGAAACAAUAAGCACAACUGUAAUAAAUCAAGGUACAAUCUAAAUUUUGGAAAACUACAUCCAUUUGAAACACCAAUAAUAAUUCUGUUAAAGACAAAGUUUGUGAGAACAUGGUUAAUUAAUUACAACAAUUGCAUUCUGCCACACAUGGGGGAAAAAGAAGUAGAAAAAACAGGGAAAAGGUAAAGAAAAUUAUUAAGAAACAAGCAAUUGUCACCUUGCAUUGGUACCCCCUUGUCUAUUCAAGCGCCCAGAUGCUGGAUAAGCUCUGUUCCUGAAGUUGGCCUGUUGAGCAAAGCUUCUUUCUGAAAUAGUGUCUCCAUCAUGAAACCCCUGGACAGAUCUUUUACCCGAACCAUAUUUUUCAAACUCUAGCCUCUGCUUUGGGGCACUUUGCGAUCUAACCUUAGCCCGAGAGGAUUCUGUGUUAGCCAUGUAGUUCGGGUGACCUGAGUAUCCAUUAAAAAAGCCCCAUGAGCACUCACUCCUUGUGGGUGUAAAAGGACCUCUUCUACCGCUACUUCCAGGUCUAGAUGAUGGGGAAAACACAUGGGGGUUGUUCUCUACAUUCCUCAAAACCGUUUCAUCUUUUCCGAGGGGGAAAUUAAGAGAUUUCAAUGAUAAAACUUCUCCUGAAGAGACAGUUGGCAUUUGAUAUGUUGCUUUUGUUGGCAAGGUAGAUGGCAAGUCGAAUGUUGCAAAGCUCUUAUUGUUAUGAUCUGAAGCCAAAACAUGCCGUGAGGCCUGCAAGGUUCUGAUACUUUGUUGGGAUUUCAUGUGGGGCUUCCAAGUAUCCACUUCAAGGAUUUUGUCGCUCUUUUCAUCAUCAGCAUGUCGAUUUCUCAUUGGAAUGUUUCCAUGGUUGUUCUGAAAGCUUUCCUCCAUCCAACAAUCUAACCAAUUUGAACCGAGGUUUGCUUCAUCUAGGUGAAUGAUCUCUCUCAGGUUUGAAUUUGAACCACAUCUCUUAAGGAUGGAGGGCCCAUCAAAUUUAGCACCAUAAUCAUGAAGUACACGAUCCUUAUGAGGACGUGCAAGAACCUGCAAGUAAAUACAAAUAAAAGAAGUGUAUAACCUAAAUGCACAUAAAGAUCGAAAAUUGUAUCAGCUUGAAAUUUCCACUAAAGUUAAAUUAUGAUUUGGCCCAACAAAAUCAGGAGUUUGGCUGAACAGGUAUAAACUAUUAAGCACUUGCAAUUGGUAAAUUCCACCAAUCAUAAAAUUUCAAUGCCUUUACUACUUUCAAGACUCGACAUGCAUUUGAUGGUUCACCUUGGCUAUGCUCAAUAAGAUACCGAGUGAAAGAAAUAAAAAAGGGAAAAAUAAAAUAUCUACCAUGACUGACCGAUAUAAUAAUUUCAAAGGCAAUUUCAGAUACCUGAAAGGCAAAUUGACAUGAUAUCUUCAUAGGCUUAGAUCUAUCUCUUUAAUUCACUAUUCACAAGGACAAUUACAGACCACUAGUCUACCAGUUUAACCAUCAUUUAAGACAAUAAUGAUUAAAACUAAAUAAAAUUACCAGUCCACUAAAAUGCAGCUGCAAUUGCUUUAAUAAAAAUUAAAAACAACCAUGAAAAAAGGCACUUUCACCAAGCUGAUACUCCUCAACUUUAGAUAUUUUCACUUUUCCCAGGCAAAGAUACUAAGUUCCUUUCAACUAAGUGGACUUGCCACUUUUCUCCUGCAAAUAAAAUAUUAUUAUGAUGUAACUUUGUAUUUUAAAUAUUUUUCUAUUGAGCUCCUGAUUCAAAAAGUGUGCAAUAUCCAAAUGAUAUAUUUUGUGUUACCUGUAAUAUGAAUUCGUAUAAAUAUUAUAAAUUUCACUUUCUGCAAUUAUGGGGUUUAUAAGAUAAUAUUUAUAACUAGCUUUUUUUCACCAUAUUUAAACUUUUGCUCUUGUUUUGUUUAUGAGUACAUUUUAUAGUUGAAUAGUGUAAAAUCUUGUAUUUUUUUUUUCAGUGCAGUAUAUGCUUUAAAUUUGUAUGUUUGUAAUUAACUAAUUAAUUAAUAUGCAUGUAUAUCAAGAAUUGUUCGGGGUGAAAGAAAAUAUUUGAAGAGCCAACUUCACAGGGCACAAUCUAAUAGAAGCCACUUAAAGAUCUACCAUCAAACUAGACCAAAAAAAAAAAAAAAGG
rnacentral:misc_RNA from 1 species